UAACAUUCAUUUUGUUUAUUUUACAAAUUUAUUUAUUCUUCGAGAAAACGUAGGUCGUACAGCCGAGUUCGACAGAGAAUGUUGGCAUGAUCUUCUCUCUAAAUCGUAUAGUUUUCGAGAGGCAUCUUUAAUGAUAAUCAGUGUAUUGAAGUGUAAGUCUUGUGCACUUGAUUGAUUGAUUGACGCGGUGUAGACAGAAGAAGAAAUAUAAUUUCACUCAUACUGAUA
rnacentral:lncRNA from 1 species